rnacentral:rRNA from 1 species
AGUGAACGCUGGCGGUAGGCCUAACAGAUGCAAGUCGAACGACAGCACAGUAAGAGCUUGCUCUUACGGGUGGCGAGUGGCGGACGGGUGAGGAAUACAUCGGAAUCUACUUUUUCGUGGGGGAUGACGUAGGGAAACUUACGCUAAUACCGCAUACGACCUACGGGUGAAAGCAGGGGAUCUUCGGACCUUGCGCGAUUGAAUGAGCCGAUGUCGGAUUAGCUAGUUGGCGGGGUAAAGGCCCACCAAGGCGACGAUCCGUAGCUGGUCUGAGAGGAUGAUCAGCCACACUGGAACUGAGACACGGUCCAGACUCCUACGGGAGGCAGCAGUGGGGAAUAUUGGACAAUGGGCGCAAGCCUGAUCCAGCCAUACCGCGUGGGUGAAGAAGGCCUUCGGGUUGUAAAGCCCUUUUGUUGGGAAAGAAAAGCAGCAGGUUAAUACCCCGCUGUUCUGACGGUACCCAAAGAAUAAGCACCGGCUAACUUCGUG